CCACCCCCGGUCAGGCGGGACCCCCCGCUGAUUUAAGCAUAUCAUAAGCGGAGGAAA
rnacentral:rRNA from 1 species